rnacentral:rRNA from 1 species
GACGAACGCUGGCGGCGUGCCUAAUACAUGCAAGUCGAGCGGAGCGUCGGACGGGUGAGUAACGCCUAGGAAGCUACCUGGUAGUGGGGGACAAAGUAGGGAAACGGGCGCCAAGAACGCAGAAUUUCAGAGGAGCUUCGGUCGGAUUAGCUAGUUGGUGGGGUAAAGGCUUACCAAGGCGACGAUCCGUAACUGGUCUGAGGGGAGGAUCAGUCACACUGGAACUGAGACACGGUCCAGCCUCCUACGGGAGGCAGCAGUAGGGAAUUUUGGACAAUGGGCGAAAGCCUGAUCCAGCAAUGCCGCGUGUGUGAAGAAGGUCUUCGGAUUGUAAAGCUCUUUAAGUUGGGAGGCGUUACCAACAGAAUAAGCCCCGGCUAACUUCGUGCCAGCAGCCGCGGUAAUUC